GGAGCGGUGGUCUAGUUGGCUAUGGCGCUCUGCCUUGUAGGCAGAGAGGUCGGUGGUUCGAAUCCACCUCGCUCUA
rnacentral:tRNA from 1 species